rnacentral:tRNA from 2 species
UGGGGCGUGGCCAAGUGGUAAGGCAACGGGUUUUGGUCCCGCUAUUCGGAGGUUCGAAUCCUUCCGUUCCAG